rnacentral:rRNA from 1 species
AACGAACGCUGGCGGCAUGCCUAACACAUGCAAGUCGAACGAGACCUUCGGGUCUAGUGGCGCAAGGGUGCGUAACGCGUGGGAACCUGCCCUUAGGUUCGGAAUAACUCCCCGAAAGGGGUGCUAAUACCGGAUAAUGUCUUCGGACCAAAGAUUUAUCGCCUUUGGAUGGGCCCGCGUUGGAUUAGCUAGUUGGUAGGGUAAAAGCCUACCAAGGCGACGAUCCAUAGCUGGUCUGAGAGGAUGAUCAGCCACACUGGGACUGAGACACGGCCCAGACUCCUACGGGAGGCAGCAGUGGGGAAUAUUGGACAAUGGGCGAAAGCCUGAUCCAGCAAUGCCGCGUGAGUGAUGAAGGCCUUAGGGUUGUAAAGCUCUUUUACCCGGGAUGAUAAUGACAGUACCGUGAGAAUAAGCUCCGGCUAACUCCGUG